rnacentral:rRNA from 1 species
UUCGGAAUUACUGGGCGUAAAGGGCGCGUAGGCGGCUUCGCUAGUCGGGCGUGAAAUGCCUGGGCUUAACCCGGGAAUUGCGUUCGAUACUUCGAGGCUAGAGUGUGGGAGAGGUUGGUGGAAUUCCCAGUGUAGAGGUGAAAUUCGUAGAUAUUGGGAAGAACACCGGUGGCGAAGGCGGCCAACUGGACCACAACUGACGCUGAGGCGCGAAAGCGUGGGGAGCAAACAGG